GCAUAUCAUAGCGGAGGAAAAGAAACUAACAAAGGAUUCCCCUAGUAACUGCGAGUGAAGCGGGAAAAGCUCAAAAUUUAAAAUCUGGCGGUCUUUGGCCGUCCGAGUUGUAAUCUAGAGAAGUGUUACCCGCGUCGGACCGUGUAUAAGUCUCCUGGAAUGGAGCGUCAUAGAGGGUGAGAAUCCCGUCUUUGACACGGACUACCGAGGCUUUUGUGGUGCGCUCUCAAAGAGUCGAGUUGUUUGGGAAUGCAGCUCAAAAUGGGUGGUAAAUUCCAUCUAAAGCUAAAUAUUGGCGAGAGACCGAUAGCGAACAAGUACCGUGAGGGAAAGAUGAAAAGAACUUUGGAAAGAGAGUUAAACAGUACGUGAAAUUGCUGAAAGGGAAACGCUUGAAGUCAGUCGCGUUGGCCGGAAAUCAACCUUGCUUCUGCUGGGUGUACUUUCUGGUUGACGGGCCAGCAUCAGUUUUGACCGAUGGAAAAAGUCCAAGGGAAUGUGGCAUCUCAGGAUGUGUUAUAGCCCUUGGUCGUAUACAUCGGUUGGGACUGAGGAAUUCAGCACGCCGCAAGGCCGGGUCUUUGACCACGUUCGUGCUUAGGAUGCUGGCAUAAUGGCUUUAAUCGACCCGUCUUGAAACACGGACCAAGGAGUCUAACAUGCCUGCGAGUGUUUGGGUGGAAAACCCGAGCGCGUAAUGAAAGUGAAAGUUGGGAUCCUUGUCAUGGGGAGCACCGACGCCCGGACCAGAAGUUUACGGACGGCUCCGCGGUAAAGCAUGUAUGUUGGGACCCGAAAGAUGGUGAACUAUGCCUGAAUAGGGUGAAGCCAGAGGAAACUCUGGUGGAGGCUCGUAGCGAUUCUGACGUGCAAAUCGAUCGUCGAAUUUUGGGUAUAGGGGCGAAAGACUAAUCGAACCAUCUAGUAGCUGGGUUCCUGCCGA
rnacentral:rRNA from 1 species